UGGGGAAUAUUGGACAAUGGGCGCAAGCCUGAUCCAGCCAUGCCGCGUGAGUGAUGAAGGCCCUAGGGUUGUAAAGCUCUUUCACCGGUGAAGAUAAUGACGGUAACUGGAGAAGAAGCCCCGGCUAACUUCGUGCCAGCAGCCGCGGUAAUACGAAGGGGGCUAGCGUUGUUCGGAUUUACUGGGCGUAAAGCGCACGUAGGCGGACUAUUAAGUCAGGGGUGAAAUCCCGGGGCUCAACCCCGGAACUGCCUUUGAUACUGGUAGUCUUGAGUUCGGGAGAGGUGAGUGGAAUUCCGAGUGUAGAGGUGAAAUUCGUAGAUAUUCGGAGGAACACCAGUGGCGAAGGCGGCUCACUGGCUCGAUACUGACGCUGAGGUGCGAAAGCGUGGGGAGCAAACAGG
rnacentral:rRNA from 1 species